CAGAUUUUCAUUUGUCAGAUGAAGGCAGGAGGAUUAAAGCAUUGAAUAUAUGUGAACUAACUGGAGCAGGGCCUGACUCAUAUUAAGCAUUCUGUUAACCAUCAUCACCAUCACCACUACCACCACCACCAUCGUCGUCGUCGUCAUCAUCAUCAUCAAUUUAUCCUCAGUCAGAAGGCCACGGAAGCAGAUUCAGAAAAUGGGUCAUCUUUAAGUAAAAGCCAUCUGAUAUUUUACUGCAAGCAUGUGGCGGUGAAGAAGACAAUGACGGCUAGCAUGGUUUGUGCCACUGCCUUGAUUUCCACUCAGGCACCAGCAGUCUUACCCACGAUUGCUUUGGUGCAGUCAGUGGAGAUAUCAACAGAUCAAAAGCACAAGUAGUAUGACUCGGCUCCCUAUGCCCAGUGAAUAUAAAUUUUCACAACUGUGAUCACAGCCCUGGCUAAAUAGUGCUCCUGGUCUUUGUAGGCAAAAUGUUUUCUCCAGCUUUCUGCUAGUUCUUAGAAGCCAGUGUGAAGGAAAAGGGAGGUCAUGAAGCAUCACUCCAAGCUGAUCAUCUAUUCAGUUGUCUUGAGAAUUAUGUAGAAUAAAAUAACUGUCUUCCUGAGUGAUAAAUGUCUAAGACUUUGUCCCAAAGUUGGGUGUUCUCUGAGGAAUUGCUGGAGACACUAUUGCCCCCUGUGGCUAGGUAAGCUUUCCAGACACAAUCCAAGGGAAGCAAAUGCCUUUGGUGAAGGAGGAGAGACUCCUACGUGGCAUGGGGACCAGCAGCUGAGACCGGCUGUAUGGAUAAUUCACACCAAAAGUGCUCCAAAUGCUACUUUCAUCUAAAUGGACUAUAAGGGUUGUCAUCAGGCCAGGGAAAUGCAGAUAUUUCAAAUCUGAAUUUCAUAGUAUUAGCAUUGCAUCAAGCCAAAAAGAUUAAGAAAGUAAAUGAGUGUAAU